rnacentral:lncRNA from 1 species
GUCAUGGCCGCCGUCGCUGUGGAUCUAUAGAGAGGAGAGAAGGAAGGCAAAUGUUUCUACUGUGUGCUUUUUGUGCCGUAGCCUCCUUUUCCACAAUGCCGGACGUUGACGGGGACGCCACCUGAACUUCCAUCGAGUUCAUAGCACAGAGGCCACGCUGCAAGCUCCCCUUCUUCAGAACCCGACAUGCAUUAAUGUCUGCGUUUGUCCUAAAGGAGUACAGGCCUAGAGGGCAUGAAAACAUGAUGACCCUGAUCACCAAUGGCCCUCUAUCUCUUUGGAACAGGGACUAUCAAGCCCCACUGGAUAUGUGAACUUUAGUACAUGCCUACUUAGUGUUGUUUUUCUGCUCUAUAGCAAUGUUAAAUGUAUUUAAUGUCAAUUGGAACCUAUUUAUUGUAUUAAUGACACUUGUUUACUUCUCUUUCAG